AGUAAUGAAGUAAAAAUACAAUUAGUUUCGACCUAAUUUAAGAGUAAUAACUCCUUACUU
rnacentral:tRNA from 1 species